rnacentral:rRNA from 1 species
CAUAUCAAUAAGCGGAGGAAAAGAAACUAACAAGGAUUCCCCUAGUAACUGCGAGUGAAGCGGGAAAAGCUCAAAUUUAAAAUCUGGCAGUCUUUGGCUGUCCGAGUUGUAAUCUGGAGAAGUGUUUUCCGCGCUGGACCGUGUACAAGUCUCUUGGAAUAGAGCGUCAUAGAGGGUGAGAAUCCCGUCUUUGACACGGACUACCAGUGCUUUGUGAUGCGCUUUCAAAGAGUCGAGUUGUUUGGGAAUGCAGCUCAAAAUGGGUGGUAAAUUCCAUCUAAAGCUAAAUAUUGGCGAGAGACCGAUAGCGAACAAGUACCGUGAGGGAAAGAUGAAAAGCACUUUGGAAAGAGAGUUAAACAGUACGUGAAAUUGCUGAAAGGGAAACGCUUGAAGUCAGUCGCGUUGUUCAGAACUCAGCCUGGCUUUGGCUUGGUGCAUUUUCUGAAUAACGGGCCAGCAUCAAUUUUGACUGUUGGAUAAAGGCUAGGGAAAUGUGGCUCCUUUGGGAGUGUUAUAGUCCUUGGUUGCAUACAAUGGUUGGGAUUGAGGAACUCAGCAUGCCUUUAUGGUCGGGGUUCGCCCACGUUCAUGCUUAGGAUGCUGGCGUAAUGGCUUUAAACGACCCGUCUUGAAACACGGACCAAGGAGUCUAACAUGCCUGCGAGUGUUUGGGUGGAAAACCCGAGCGCGCAAUGAAAGUGAAAGUUGGGAUCUCUGUCGUGGAGAGCACCAAUGCCCGGACCAGACCUUCUGUGACGGUUCCGCGGUAGAGCAUGUAUGUUGGGACCCGAAAGAUGGUGAACUAUGCCUGAAUAGGGUGAAGCCAGAGGAAACUCUGGUGGAGGCUCGUAGCGAUUCUGACGUGCAAAUCGAUCGUCAAAUUUGGGUAUAGGGGCGAAAGACUAAUCGAACCAUCUAGUAGCUGGUUCCUGC